rnacentral:lncRNA from 1 species
AAACCAAAAAGCAAACCUUUACCCUUCUAAAUUUUCUGCCAAGAUGAUUAGUAAUCCACCUUUUGUAUUACCAUGAAUCUCCUAUUCUCCUUAUAAAGAUUGCACAUUAGGCAUUCAACCAACACAAUAACAAUACCUGCCAUCACUGAGCAACUACUGAAAUGGAGACUUCUUCGGCAUGGUGCUUAAUGGUUGUUUUUCAUGUAAUUAUAUUGGUUGGAAUGCCUUCUUCCACUUUGAGUUCAAUGCAGCAGCAAGUUCCAGCCAUGUUUGUGUUUGGAGAUUCUUUAAGUGAUCCAGGAAAUAACAAUAAUUAUAAAACCCUUGCAAAAGCCAAUACUGUUCCAAAUGGAAUUGAUUUUCCAUAUGGUGUAACAGGCAGGUUUUGUAAUGGUGCUACAAUCGCAGAUCAUUUAGGUACGUUUAUUAAACACAGUUCAUAUAAAUCUUAUUGUUGAUCUAGACUUAUUAGUUUUGGUACAAAUGAAUUUCAGGUUACUUGCUUGGGAUAGAAUUGAUCCCAGCAUGUAACGAUCCAAGAACAACUGGGUCAACUUUAUUGCGAGGGGUUAAUUUUGCUUCAUCUUCGGGCGGGAUACUUAAUGACACUGGUGCAAAAUUUGUAAGUAACCAAACUUAAUUAAGAUUUAACAUUUCUUUACUGCGAUAAAAUUUUAUAUAUAAAUGUAUAAUCACCGGAUGUUGGAGGUCGAUCUGUUCAGAAUCGGUGGGACUAGAUAAUGUGUCUGUCCAUCCACUUUUGUCACAUUUUGGAUAAACUCAUGUUGGUGACACAUUACUGUAUUUGCUUUAUAGGGACAAAAUAUACCAAUGUCGAAACAAGUUGAGCUCUUUGGGGAGAAAAUACUCCCAGAGCUGAAAUCACUGAUGGAGAAUAGCAAUGUCGAAGAGUCAGCUGCCAAUUCAUUUGAACAUUUCGUAGCCAAGUCUCUCAUUUUCUCUAGCAUAGGAAAUGAUGACUUGAUCAACAACUACUUAAGUCGCUUUGGAAAUCCACUCAAUAAGCCAAUUCCACCACACUUUUGGGAUUCUGUGAUCAUAGCAUAUAGUAAUCAACUUAAGGUACGUUGCGUGCGUGCGACUCUGGCAUUAAGUUUCGAUUGUUUUAUGAUCGGGUUUAAAUUAGUCCAUUAAUUCUGUUGCUAUGUGGUGUAAAUUCCUGAAUCUGAUUCGGCAUUAUUUAAUAACAUGCCAAUGAAGAAAUCCAAGCUAUUAACUCAUUUUGCACUAAGAUGAUGAUAUAGGCAUAUAGCAGGUACGUUAAUUAGUGUGUGCAUGUGUGUGUAUCUGCUUGCCUGCGACCUGUAACUUGAAAAGUGAAAAUAAUGACAGGGAAUGACCAAAUGAGUGAAGUGAAUGUUUAUCUAUCAGUUUAGGCGUACGACAGAGUUCGACCCAAUAGUUUAUAGUUUUGAUCAUGGCCCUGGUCCUGUGUUUUUGUACAUUAACUUGCCGCAGGGGGUCAGAGGCCACCUAUAAGGCUUUUUUUUUUCCGCUAGAGUGCAGCGCAGUUUAUUGUGUGUUUGUCUUCUACUUUUAUAUAAAUUAAGUGAAAAGAACGUGCUACGUAGUACGCACCUGUAGUAGAGAUUAUUUUGAAUAUUAAUAAAAUUUUAAAUAUUAAGUAUUAAAGUAGAAAAAAAAUGUAUGUCAUGAACUCAUGAUCAUAUUCUAAAACAUUUUUUUUACAUAGAUGGUGGAAAUGUUCAUUACACAUAGGUGGACUGGAAUUAGGUAAUUAGAUAAUCAAACAUGAUAGAUAAUGGAGAAAUUAUAUUGGAGAGCCACAUGUUUUCAAUGUUAUAAAACAAACUUCUAAUCUUCACCACUACUAUGGCACUAUGCUAAUUUGAUUAUAUAAUAUAAGUUAAUCACAGUUGUUUUUUUAAUUUUUUAGCAUAAUACAGAUCACUCUCGCAUUUUCAAAUAUAUUGAUUAAUUAAUGAUCCAGAUAGCUAUCAAUUUAUGUUGAGAAAAUACAAAUAUAGAUAUUUACUAAUUGAAUUGAAUUGCGAUGCUUGUGUAAUACACUUGAUAACCUGUCUGCAGCGACACCUUCUCUGCGAAUUCUAGCUGGUAGAAGUUCAAUAAGUGGAGCUGAUUAAUAUGAAUGGUUCCUGCGCAUAUCUCGUUACAUUAGGCAUUCAACCAACACAAUAACAAUACCUGCCAUCACUGAGCAACUACUGAAAUGGAGACUUCUUCGGUAUGGUGCUUAAUGUUUGUUUUUCAUGUAAUUAUAUUGGUUGGAAUGCCUUCUUCCACUUUGAGUUCAAUGCAGCAGCAAGUUCCAGCCAUGUUUGUGUUUGGAGAUUCUUUAAGUGAUCCAGGAAAUAACAAUAAUUAUAGAACCCUAGCAAAAGCCAAUACUGUUCCAAAUGGAAUUGAUUUUCCAUAUGGUGUAAC